rnacentral:rRNA from 1 species
CGAGCGGACAGAAGGGAGCUUGCUCCCGGAUGUUAGCGGCGGACGGGUGAGUAACACGUGGGUAACCUGCCUGUAAGACUGGGAUAACUCCGGGAAACCGGAGCUAAUACCGGAUAGUUCCUUGAACCGCAUGGUUCAAGGAUGAAAGACGGUUUCGGCUGUCACUUACAGAUGGACCCGCGGCGCAUUAGCUAGUUGGUGGGGUAAUGGCUCACCAAGGCGACGAUGCGUAGCCGACCUGAGAGGGUGAUCGGCCACACUGGGACUGAGACACGGCCCAGACUCCUACGGGAGGCAGCAGUAGGGAAUCUUCCGCAAUGGACGAAAGUCUGACGGAGCAACGCCGCGUGAGUGAUGAAGGUUUUCGGAUCGUAAAGCUCUGUUGUUAGGGAAGAACAAGUGCGAGAGUAACUGCUCGCACCUUGACGGUACCUAACCAGAAAGCCACGGCUAACUACGUGCCAGCAGCCGCGGUAAUACGUAGGUGGCAAGCGUUGUCCGGAAUUAUUGGGCGUAAAGGGCUCGCAGGCGGUUUCUUAAGUCUGAUGUGAAAGCCCCCGGCUCAACCGGGGAGGGUCAUUGGAAACUGGGAAACUUGAGUGCAGAAGAGGAGAGUGGAAUUCCACGUGUAGCGGUGAAAUGCGUAGAGAUGUGGAGGAACACCAGUGGCGAAGGCGACUCUCUGGUCUGUAACUGACGCUGAGGAGCGAAAGCGUGGGGAGCGAACAGGAUUAGAUACCCUGGUAGUCCACGCCGUAAACGAUGAGUGCUAAGUGUUAGGGGGUUUCCGCCCCUUAGUGCUGCAGCUAACGCAUUAAGCACUCCGCCUGGGGAGUACGGUCGCAAGACUGAAACUCAAAGGAAUUGACGGGGGCCCGCACAAGCGGUGGAGCAUGUGGUUUAAUUCGAAGCAACGCGAAGAACCUUACCAGGUCUUGACAUCCUCUGACAACCCUAGAGAUAGGGCUUUCCCUUCGGGGACAGAGUGACAGGUGGUGCAUGGUUGUCGUCAGCUCGUGUCGUGAGAUGUUGGGUUAAGUCCCGCAACGAGCGCAACCCUUGAUCUUAGUUGCCAGCAUUCAGUUGGGCACUCUAAGGUGACUGCCGGUGACAAACCGGAGGAAGGUGGGGAUGACGUCAAAUCAUCAUGCCCCUUAUGACCUGGGCUACACACGUGCUACAAUGGACAGAACAAAGGGCUGCAAGACCGCAAGGUUUAGCCAAUCCCAUAAAUCUGUUCUCAGUUCGGAUCGCAGUCUGCAACUCGACUGCGUGAAGCUGGAAUCGCUAGUAAUCGCGGAUCAGCAUGCCGCGGUG